rnacentral:rRNA from 1 species
GCAAGCAGGCUUUGAUCCGUGGAUCUCCGAAUGGGACAACCCACUGGCCUUAAUCGGCCAGUAUCAUUGGAUGAAUUCAUAGUCCAAUGAAGCGAAACGCGGUGAAGUGAAACAUCUCAGUAACCACAGGAAAAGAAAACGACGUCAUUCCGCUAGUAGUGGCGAGCGAACGCGGAGGAGCCUAAACUAAUGAGACUUGUCUCAUCAGGGUUGUGGGACCUCAAUGUGGUAGGACUAUUGUUAGCUGAAUCUUUUGGAAGAAAGAGCCAUAGACCGUGAAAGCCGGGUCAGUAAAACAAGAAGCCGCCUAGAGAAAUCCCAAGUAGCACGGUGCAAGUGAAACUCUGUGCGAAUCAGUCCGGACCACCGGAUAAGGCUAAAUUCUACUUGGCAACCGAUAGUGAACCAGUACCGCGAGGGAAAGGCGAAAAGAACCCCUUUUAGGGGAGUGAAACAGAUCCUGAAACCAUAAGCUUACAAUGUGUAGGAGCGCUUAACAGCGUGACUGCUUGCCUUUUGCAUAAUGAGUCUGCGAGUUAUUGUCAGUGGCCAGCGUCAGCCUUUCUGAGGUGGAUGCGAAGCGAAAGCGAGUACGAAGUGUGCGUUAAGUCGCUGGCAAUAGACCCGAAGCGGAGGUGAUCUACUCUUGAGCAGGUUGAAGCCCAGGUAACACUGUGUGGAGGACCGAACUCGUGGAUGUUGAAAAAUCCUGAGAUGACUUGAGAGUAGGAGCGAAAGACUAAUCAAACCCCGUGAUAGCUGGUUCUCUCCGAAAUCGCUUGAGGGCGAGCGUUGGGUAAGUACUCCAUCGAGGUAGAGCACUGGAUGGCUUAGAGUCCACACCAGGAUAUCAAAACCAAUCAAACUCCGAAUUCCACGGGAUCCAAUACCUCGGCAGUCAGACGGUGGGGGAUAAGCUCCAUCGUCGAAAGGGCAACAGUCCAGCCCGCCGGCUAAGGUGCCCAAACGUUGUUAAGUGGAAAGGAUGUGAAGUUACUUAGACAGUGAGGAUGUUGGCUUAGAGGCAGCCACCAUUUAAACAGUGCGUAAUAGCUGACUCAUCGAGUGAUUUUGCGCCGAAAAUGAUUGGCGAUAAAUAACGUACCGAAGCCGCGGAUAGCAAGUUGGUUCGCCAACUUGUUGUGGUAGGAGAGCGUGAACGGUGCAGUGAAGCAGAACCGAAAGGGGACGUGGAGCGCCGUUCAGUGAGAAUGCAGACACGAGUAGCGAUAAACCAGAUGAGAAUUCUGGUCGCCGUAAACCCAAGGUUUCCUGGGCUAGGUUCGUCCUCCCAGGGUCAGUCGGGAGCUAAGAUGAGGUCGUAAGACGUAAUCGAUGCACAGCUGGUCAACAUUCCAGCACCGAUGUGGUUCAAACCGUUAGUGACGCAAGGAGAAAAGUGGCAAGAUUAUUGAAAAAUCUAGCUUAGGGGCAACCUGAAGCAAGUCACCAGACAACUUGUCUAGAAAAGCUAACGGCCCUUUUCCACAUUGCCCGUACCGCAAACCGACACAGGUGGGUGGGUGUAAAUGCACCAAGGCGCGCGAGAGAGACCUCUCUAAGGAACUCGGCACAUUAGCCCCGUAACUUCGGGAAAAGGGGUGCUCGCUUCGGCGAGCCACAGUAAAUUGCGUUUAGCGACUGUUUAACAAAAACACAGCACUCUGCCAAGUCGUGAAGACGACGUAUAGGGUGUGACACGUGACCAAUGCGGAAAGAUCAAGGUGAGCUGUUAGCUGUAAGGCGAAGCGGUGAACCCAAGUCCCCGUGAAUGUCGGCCGUAACUAUAACGGUCCUAAGGUAGCGAAAUUCCUUGUCGGGUAAGUUCCGACCUGCACGAAUCGUGUAACGACUGAACCGCUGUCUCGGAGAGGAUCUCGGCGAAAUUGUAACGGCGGUGAAGAUGCCGCCUGCCCGCAGUAGGACGGAAAGACCCUAUGCACCUUUACUGUAAGCUGGUAUUGUGUUCUGGUUAACGAUGCGUAGCGUAGGUGGGAGACUUUGAAGGCGCGGUU